rnacentral:rRNA from 1 species
UCGAGGGGCAGCGAGUAGAUUGCUUGCAAUCUACGUCGGCGACCGGCGCACGGGUGCGUAACGCGUAUGCAACCUACCCAUUACAGGGGGAUAACACUGAGAAAUCGGUACUAAUACCCCAUAACAUCCAGGGAGGCAUCUUCUUGGGUUGAAAACUCCGGUGGUAAUGGAUGGGCAUGCGUUGUAUUAGUUAGUUGGUGGGGUAACGGCUCACCAAGACGACGAUACAUAGGGGGACUGAGAGGUUAACCCCCCACAUUGGUACUGAGACACGGACCAAACUCCUACGGGAGGCAGCAGUGAGGAAUAUUGGUCAAUGGACGCAAGUCUGAACCAGCCAUGCCGCGUGCAGGAAGACGGCUCUAUGAGUUGUAAACUGCUUUUGUACGAGGGUAAACGCAGAUACGUGUAUCUGUCUGAAAGUAUCGUACGAAUAAGGAUCGGCUAACUCCGUGCCAGCAGCCGCGGUAAUACGGAGGAUUCAAGCGUUAUCCGGAUUUAUUGGGUUUAAAGGGUGCGUAGGCGGUCGGAUAAGUUAGAGGUGAAAUCCCGGGGCUCAACUUCGGAAUUGCCUCUGAUACUGUUCGGCUAGAGAGUAGUUGCGGUAGGCGGAAUGUAUGGUGUAGCGGUGAAAUGCUUAGAGAUCAUACAGAACACCGAUUGCGAAGGCAGCUUACCAAGCUACUUCUGACGUUGAGGCACGAAAGCGUGGGGAGCAAACAGGAUUAGAUACCCUGGUAGUCCACGCAGUAAACGAUGAUAACUCGUUGUCGGCGAUACAAUGUCGGUGACUAAGCGAAAGCGAUAAGUUAUCCACCUGGGGAGUACGUUCGCAAGAAUGAAACUCAAAGGAAUUGACGGGGGCC